rnacentral:lncRNA from 1 species
UGUUACACAAUGACCUCAUUAUGGAGAUGAAGCAUCCAACCGCGGGGAAGAUAGCAGUCCCAGGCCCAGCUGUGAGAUACAGUAAGUUCAAGAUGUCAGAAGCCAGGCCGCCUCCCCUGCUUGGGCAGCACACGACACACAUCCUGAAGGAGGUCCUCAGAUACGACGACAAGGCCAUUGGGGAGCUGCUCAGCGCCGGAGUGGUGACCCAACAUGAAGCUGAAUGAUGAAAAAUGCUCUUUCUCAAAAACCAUAAUCUGAAUGUACUUUGCUAGCAAAGGCAAUAGUCUUUCUGGACCCUUGCUCCCCAGUUCUGGUGCCUGCCUCUGCAAAGAAAAGUUAGAGUAAUUCCAGAUUUCCUGCCUGGCGCCUCCAGAAUGGCCUUGGUAUCAAUGCAUCUAGAGCUUUCUAACCGUAUCCCACCUUUUGCUCCUUACCAUUCUCCCCCCCACACACACCACCACAGAUAAUAGAUUAAUUGUGGAUUUGUGGGAUUUUUUUGUGAAGACUUUUUUUUCCUGGAAAAAUACAUUGCUCAUUCUAAUUACAUUAAUAGCCUAAACGUUUGCCCCUCCACCCGCGCAGGUCUGAAAAAGAGCAGAUCUCUUGACGUUCUCUACUUGCACAUAAAGUCUUCAUUUAAACCUUUGUUAGGAAGUCAAAGCAAUAAGCAGAAUGACAGUUUUAGUGAUUGAUUUUAAACAGAAUAACUUAAUUUUGAGCUCAUGAACCCUUUGUUAAUCUGUAAUUUAAACCAUGGGCUUUGCUGAUGUCCAUUAUAAAACUGAGUUUCAUUCUCCCCAUGGGGGUAAAUAUUGGCUUUAUGUUGUAUUUCUCUGAUUAUUUCAUGAUACAUGGCAGAAAAUCAAUUUCCAUCGAUGCAUUUUGGAGGGUAUGUAUCUAUCUGCAUUCGGGGAUGAAGAGUUCCUCUUUAAUCAGUACCUUAUUUUGAGCCAAGUACAAAUGCAAUAGGUUUUUAAAUGAGUGUUAAAUGACUAUCUAGGUAUUACAUAAUGUUUACAUAAUAGAAGAAUAAAAGGAAAACAUUCCUUUGUAAUCUGAAUGCUCACUGUAGAAGAAUAUAUCAUGCCUUAAUAUUAAGUAUUUGCAUUUAAGUAUUUUAAGUAUUUAAGUAUUUGUCAAAGAACUUAAAGUAUAGAAAAUACUUUCUGUGCAGAAGGUGGCACCUGAUUUGACUCUAUGUUCCAGGACAGAUUGUCACUCAGACUGCCAGUCACCCAAACCCAGGUACAGACCAAGGAAUCAAAUGGCCUCAUGAUCGAUAUCCUGACAUGAUCUAAAUUCAUGACCGUUAGGCACUCGUAUUUGAUAGCCAUGUCAUGACAUACCAAGUGGUAAUUGAAAGUUAAGUUAGAGAUGCUCAUCUUUCAAACUGUGAUUUAUAGCUGGUUUUCCUUUCGUGUUCUUUUUUUUUGGGGGGGGGAUGAUUUGAGCCAUUUAUCCAUGCUAUAAGCCCCAAUAUGUUUCUAGAAUCAAGGAUUCCAAGUAAAUAGGAAAUGUGUCCUCUCACAAGGCCCCGUGGUGUGUCUUAGAAGACUGCCUACUAAUUCCUGGAAGACUUACUGUCCUCCCUGCCUUGCUGUUUGUGAACAUUUUACUCUGAGGCACCCCUGCUGUCAUUCCACAAGUUAGAAUUUCAUCAUACAAGGGUAAUGCCUUCUGCAGUGCUUUUUCUCCAACGGCUAACUCAUAGAUCUACAUUUGGGUACAUUCACGUCAGGCCAGACAUCUAAAUGAAAUCCCCCCAUGUAUGUACAAUUAGUAAUAAAAAUAGUAAAAGACAAGAUGACUGAGAAUUGGCAAAACCCCGUGAUCUUAAAAAACAGAUCAUCGUUUCUGCUACUGGUCCAAGUAAAUAUCUUGAAAUGCAAAUCACUUGAUUAGUGAGCAAUAACCCUAAAUAUCUAUCUGGGUAGCCUUGCGUGGGAGGAUACUGAUCACUCAGACAGGGUCACAAAAUGCCUUUAAAACCUUGAAAUCCACCAAGACUGAAGAAGAGUAACUGCCAGAGACUAUCUCCGGUAUAAUCGUGUAUCCAGAUUUCCAUCUACACAAUUCAGGAUGAUCCCAGAGAACUUUGAACCUCUCACCCUACAGAAAGCAUGGACUCCGUGAGAGAAAUCAUUUAGAAAUGAUUUCAAGUUCAGAUCGAUAAUUAGUCCUGAAAGAAACAUUGCGCUGGCUAAAAUUGCUAGCAAUAUGCCCAGAUCAAGUUAUGCUUAUAAACAAAUGUGCUGUUUUAAUUAUCAGGGCCUAUUUUCUUACACAUUCCCAAAGCGGAGCACACUACUAAGAGACCAUAUGCUCAAGUUCAGUGUAUGUCAAGGCCUGCCUUCUGGCAGCUUUGUAUCUGAGGUUGACUUAGAAAAUUCUUCAAAACUUAGUUGGGUUAAUCAUUAUGGAGCCAAGGGUGUGUCCACAGCCAACUGGUCUUCCCUUCUUAAUUUUUUCCUAAACUUUUUGCUGCCAUGGUUUUCUGGUUAAUCGAGCAUGAUAUUUUCCACAUGCACUCUGGUAUUCUGAAUGUUCCUCUAGAAGAGAAAUGAACAAUGACCAGUUGUGUAUGACUAGUCCAGUUACUUGGACUAGUCCUUUGUCGUUGAUCCAUCUCCUAAAAGUUGGAAGUAUAGUCUUGAUUUUAAAAAUCACAGGAGAUCUCACACAGGCUAUUUCAUAUGAGGUUAUUAGGCUACCUCACCCACACAGGCCCAUAUCAUGGGGCUUUUGUGUGAAGACUUCAUGACCUCUACUUUCAGACUUUUUCAGAGAAAUUCACCCCACUCACAUCUCACCUAAAUUUGCUAUUUCACCACUGACUUUUUCAUCCCAUGACAUUAGCAUGUUGACAACUUGAAAAGUUUUGUAGCUUAAGUGCUGUCUUCAUUCAUAGGAUUUGCUCUCCCAAAUAACGGGCUUAAAGCCUCUAAGAAAGAAUGCCAGCCCAUGGAUGGACAGACUGUCCAGAUCUCUCUCUCUUCUGACUGCUCAUCAUGGAUUCUCAACUGGCAAAGGAGAUGAAUGGGAAAAAAAAGGCACAUGACGCACCUUCCAUACCCUGACCCUGGGCUGUUCAUAUUCAAGCUUGUUCCCAAGAUUAUGAGAUUCUUCUUACAUUUGCCUCUAUUUAUGGGAGACUGUCUGCUAAAUUGAGCCCUUAUCAUUGAAGAGAUUCUUAAGAUGCCGUGUGCCUGAAAAAAAAAAAAA